rnacentral:ncRNA from 2 species
GCAUAUUUUAGACUCCGACCCGAAAUCCCUACGGCGUGUGCUAUGGGAUGAGGGCGCUUGGGUGUGACAGCAAGUGAGCACCCAGCCAGGGUUAAGCUGGAAACGGCGUGGCCUCCCGUGUUUGGAAAGGAGCCUGUUUAUUUAGGCA